rnacentral:rRNA from 1 species
GGCGGUUCGCCGCCUGUGACGUCGCGAGAAGUCCAUUGAACCUUAUCAUUUAGAGGAAGGAGAAGUCGUAACAAGGUUUCCGUAGGUGAACCUGCGGAAGGAUCAUUGUCGUUGCCUCUCGAAAAACACGACCGUUGCACACGUGACAGAACAUGCUGUCGGGGAGGUGCUUGCUGCCUCCUCGGCCCCACCGGCCUCGUUCCUCUAGCCCUUCGGGCGAGUUGGAUGAUGGCCGGAAUACGGCGCGGGAUGACGCCAAGGAACACGAUAAAAGCUAAGGCACCGGCUAUAGCCGCUAAAGGGCUUGCGCCGGAUGCCAAGGCCAAUGAAAAGAAUAUGACUCUCGGCAACGGAUAUCUCGGCUCUCGCAUCGAUGAAGAACGUAGCGAAAUGCGAUACGUGGUGUGAAUUGCAGAAUCCCGUGAACCAUCGAGUCUUUGAACGCAAGUUGCGCCCGAGGGACCCUCCCGAGGGCACGCCUGCCUCAUGGGCGUUAGAAGCCCAUCCACGCUCGGUUGCCUAACGGCAAAGAUGCGGACAUUGGCCCUCCGAACCGCGAGGCACGGUGGGCCUAAGUGUGCGGCCGUCGUAUGCGGCCGGGAGCGGCGAGUGGUGGGCUACUGCGCACGUCACCCCGAGCCCCGUACCGACGCAGGGCCUUUUUUGACCCCUAACGAGGAGCCUGCCGUUGCAGCCUGCGCUGCGCGGCGCCUUCGGACCGAUACCCCAGGUCAGGCGGGGCUACCCGCUGAGUUUAAGCAUAUAAAUAAG